GUCUGAGGUUCAUUACUCAGUGUGAUGGUCUGAGGUUCAUUACUCAGUGUGAUGGUCUGAGGUUGAGGUUCAUUACUCAUUGUGAUGGUCUGAGGUUCAUUACUCAGUGUGAUGGUCUGAGUUUGAGGUUGGGGUUG